rnacentral:rRNA from 1 species
GAUGAACGCUGGCGGCGUGCCUAAUACAUGCAAGUCGAGCGAACAGAUAAGGAGCUUGCUCCUUUGACGUUAGCGGCGGACGGGUGAGUAACACGUGGAUAACCUACCUAUAAGACUGGGAUAACUUCGGGAAACCGGAGCUAAUACCGGAUAACAUAUUGAACCGCAUGGUUCAAUAGUGAAAGGCGGCUUUGCUGUCACUUAUAGAUGGAUCCGCGCCGUAUUAGCUAGUUGGUAAGGUAACGGCUUACCAAGGCAACGAUACGUAGCCGACCUGAGAGGGUGAUCGGCCACACUGGAACUGAGACACGGUCCAGACUCCUACGGGAGGCAGCAGUAGGGAAUCUUCCGCAAUGGGCGAAAGCCUGACGGUGCAACGCCGCGUGAGUGAUGAAGGUCUUCGGAUCGUAAAACUCUGUUAUCAGGGAAGAACAAAUGUGUAAGUAACUGUGCACAUCUUGACGGUACCUGAUCAGAAAGCCACGGCUAACUACGUG